rnacentral:rRNA from 1 species
GACGAACGCUGGCGGCGUGCUUAACACAUGCAAGUCGAACGGAAAGGCCCUGCUUGCCGGGUGCUCGAGUGGCGAACGGGUGAGUAACACGUGGGUGAUCUGCCCCUUACUUUGGGAUAAGCCUGGGAAACUGGGUCUAAUACUGGAUAGGACCAUGCUGUAGGUGGUGUGGUGGAAAGAUUAGUUUCGGUAAGGGAUGAGCUCGCGGCCUAUCAGCUUGUUGGUGGGGUAAUGGCCUACCAAGGCGUCGACGGGUAGCCGGCCUGAGAGGGUGGACGGCGAGAUGGGGACAGUGAGACGGACGAGACUCCUACGGGAGGCAGCAGUGGGGAGGAUGGCACAAUGGGCGCAGGCCUGAUGAAGCGACGCCGCGGGGGGGAUGACGGCGUUCGGGUGGUAAACGCCUUUCAGCCAUGACGAAGCCCUUGUGGUGACGGUAGUGGUAGAAGAAGCACCGGCUAACUACGUG